rnacentral:rRNA from 1 species
CACGGAGGGUGCGAGCGUUGUCCGGAAUCAUUGGGCGUAAAGGGCGCGUAGGUGGCCCGGUCAGUUCGUGGUGAAAGCGCGGGGCUCAACCCUGCGUCGGCCAUGAAUACUGCCGCGGCUGGAGCACUGUAGAGGCAGGCGGAAUUCCGGGUGUAGCGGUGGAAUGCGUAGAGAUCCGGAAGAACACCGGUGGCGAAGGCGGCCUGCUGGGCAGUUGCUGACACUGAGGCGCGACAGCGUGGGGAGCAAACAGG